rnacentral:lncRNA from 1 species
UUUGGUUGUUUUAUUGAUUCCCCUCUUGUCUUGAGAAGGGCCCCUAAUCUCUACAAAUAAAUGAAUAAAAUCGAAGCAUGUGAAGAAGAUGAGCUACGGGCCGAUGACGACUAGCGGUACAACGGCGGAAUCAAGUGACGAUGGUGGUUUCGAUGUUGAAUUGGAUCUGCAUAAUGUUUUUUUCUAGCCGGCGUCAAGACGGCGGUGAAAGAGAGGGUAGAGCCGAUGGUGACAUAGACGAGUAGAGAACUGAUGAUCAGCAGCUGCAGUAACAAACAGUCGCCGCCGAACGCCGAUUCAUCUCCAUUGUCGUUGUAUGUGGCCACUGAUUAGAACCUAAUUGCGAUGGACACCCGCAUCUUAUUAAUCAAAGUAAAAUCUUUUAAUGUACUUGCAUUUAAAAGGUGGCCUUUGGGUUAGUAGAUAAUGUGUCUUAAGCAACUUCCGUUCUCUUUAUACAAAGGUUUAC